GCUUGAGGAUGAUGUUGUAAACCGCACAUGUGUCUGAUCUCUAGGAGUCAUCCACAUGAGCCCACGAAUCUCGAUCAAAAGUCUUGCUUCAGGAAAUCAGCAUAGUAUGCUAGUAUUGCACUGAUCCUUCUUCGAUGGUUGAUCAGGUGCCUCCUUCUUCUUGAUUUGGGCUCUUCCAAAGAUGAGAAGUAAGAGGAGGAGUUUUAAAUCUGAGACGCUCUCAGAA
rnacentral:lncRNA from 1 species